rnacentral:rRNA from 1 species
CCCGACUCCGUGAAGCUGGAUUCGCUAGUAAUCGCGCAUCAGCCAUGGCGCGGUGAAUACGUUCCCGGGCCUUGUACACACCGCCCGUCAAGCCAUGGGAGCCGGGGGUACCUGAAGUCCGUAACCGAAAGGAUCGGCCUAGGGUAAAACUGGUGACUGGGGCUAAGUCGUAACAAGGUAGCCGUACCGGAAGGUGCGGCUGGAACACCUCCUUU